rnacentral:rRNA from 1 species
UACCAACCCUCCGAGUGGUAGGGAUGAUUAUUUGGCUUAAAGCGUCCGUAGCUGGCUUGAAAAGUCCUCCGUUAAAUCCAGCGUCUAAGCGUUGGAAAGCGGAAGAUACUAUCAAGCUAGGAGGCGGAAGAGGCCGACGGUAUUUCUAGGGGAGGGGUGAAAUCCUAUAAUCCUAGGAGGACCACCAGUGGCGAAGGCGGUCGGCCAGAACGCACUCGACGGUGAGGGACGAAAGCUGGGGGAGCGAACUGGAUUAGAUACCCGGGUAGUCCCAGCAGUAAACUAUGCAGGCUAGGUGUUGGGGCGGCUACGAGCCGCUUCAGUGCCGCAGGAAAACCGUUAAGCUUGCCGCCUGGGGAGUACGACCGCAAGGUUGAAACUUAAAGGAAUUGGCGGGGGAGCACUACAAGGGGUGAAGGCUGCGGUUU